AAAUAAGAUUUAUCAUGAGGAGUCAGCCGAGGCCAUAGUACCUUAUGGGCUAUAGACCAUGAGGAAAGGGC
rfam:Megasphaera elsdenii strain DSM 20460 draft genome